GCCGAAAAUAUUUAAAAACGUAAAAUACGGUAGUAUAACAUAUACAUUUGGCUGAAAAUCCAGCCUCUUAAUAGGUUUUACGCCAUAUUGAAAUGAGUUACUACUUCAUAUAAUCUAACACAAAAGAGUUCAUACAUAUAGUCACGCACUCCAUAUGUCUAUCCACAAAAAGCCUUUAGUAUUCAAACGCUGGAUUGGGAAUACGAAAAUUGUUUCAUUCCCGUUUUUGAAUUCAUCUACGUCUGGCAGCUAUUUAGUCUGUUCGCGGGUGCGAUGUUUUCUACUAACAGGUACUUUGCCUUUGCUCAUCCUCGCAGUUUCACAAAUGGGUCUUACUCCAAUAUUUCGUUCUGUCGAUCGUUCUUCCUCCUUUCUAAACAAGUUUAUGUGCUCUUUUUCUCUUGUUUUUUUUUUAUGUUUUUCCAACGUAAACGCUCUCACAUCCAACACACUUGAUAUCUCAUAUGUGACACCAUGCCCAUGCACCACAAGGCAAUACCCGUUUCUUUGCAAUACCCGUUUCAACCCAGUACCAGCCUUCUCCACACCACUUUAAUCUUAAAUCCUUGUCUUCGGAUCAACAUGAGAUUAAAGGAGGAGCACCAAUAACACCCCCUUUUGUGCCAGUCUUUUUCCUUUCUACUUUCUCCUGUACCCGUUCUUCUUUCCUCCAUUUUUGGAGCGAUACAUUGGUCGUGCUCCUUUUUGUCGCGCUUCUUCUCGUGCUCUAUAUGUCUU